GAUCCUGGCUCAGAAUCAACGCUGGCGGCGCGCUUAACACAUGCAAGUCGCACGAGAAAGCCCGCAAGGGUGAGUACAGUGGCGUACGGGUGAGUAACACGUGGAUGAUCUACCUUCUAGUGGGGAAUAACCCUGGGAAACCGGGGCUAAUACCGCAUAAGCUCGAGAGAGGAAAGCAGCAAUGCGCUGGAAGAGGAGUCCGCGGCCGAUUAGCUAGUUGGCAGGGUAAAAGCCUACCAAGGCGGAGAUCGGUAGCCGGCCUGAGAGGGCACACGGCCACACUGGCACUGAAACACGGGCCAGACUCCUACGGGAGGCAGCAGUGGGGAAUCUUGCACAAUGGGGGAAACCCUGAUGCAGCGACGCCGCGUGAGCGAUGAAGCCCUUCGGGGUGUAAAGCUCUUUCGGCAGGGAAGAUGAUGACGGUACCUGCAGAAGCAGCUGCGGCUAACUACGUGCCAGCAGCCGCGGUAAUACGUAGGCAGCGAGCGUUGUUCGGAGUUACUGGGCGUAAAGGGUGUGUAGGCGGUUGUUUAAGUUUGGUGUGAAAUCUCCCGGCUCAACUGGGAGGGUGCGCCGAAUACUGAAUGACUUGGAGUGCGGGAGAGGAAAGUGGAAUUCCUGGUGUAGCGGUGAAAUGCGUAGAUAUCAGGAGGAACACCGGUGGUGUAGACGGCUUUCUGGACCGUA
rnacentral:rRNA from 1 species